rnacentral:lncRNA from 1 species
GGGGAAAAGGAGGAUUUAGGGUUGGGAGUAGAGACUUACUUUUUACUAUAUACCCCUUUGUAGUUUGAAUUUUUUUGUUUCAUCAAGUGCAAGCAUUUUUUUUCCCCUUUCCUGACUACAAAGAUCCACAAGAAAAAGCAUUUUUUAAAAACUGCAAAACAGAAAGCUCCAUAAACGUACAGCCAGGUUUGGGAACCACUACCCUAGUUAGCUGCCAACUAUGUCUUUACCUCUCAUGUGUAUACUACUCUCAACUUUAAAAUCUCUGGUGGUUUCCUAAUGCCUUUCGUGAAAUCCCAAGCCUUAACCUCAGUCUCUCUUUUCCAUUGUUUUUACCCUCUGACUUCCCGUAUCAUCACAGCGGAGAAAUUUUGCAGGGGACACAGGACAUCAACCCAUCUCCUCAUUCCAGUCUUUGAGACUGUAUCCAAAUGUCCCCUUCCUACUAUCAGCUGAGUCCCACAAGGUCUGAAGUCGUCCCCCAAAGUCUCUUCUGUAAAAGGACAGCAACGUAACAAUUGUCCCCCGCCCUCCAGAUGCUGGACUGGAGUGAUGCAGGGAGCGCAGAGAGGGUACUAACUUUUGAAGCAUUUGCCAUGGUCCUGCUUUGACCUCAUUUUCAGAUGAAGAAACUGAGACCCAGGAGGGGACUGAGUCCUCCAGUGAAUCCUCUGAAAAUCCUCUGAACCUGGCUGCAGAUGAGGGAGAAGAGAGCCUAGAGAAUCUCAAGGGAAGAUUUGUGGCCAGAUCCAGAAGGGGCGUUCCUAACUCUUCCUCACACAUUCCAUGCGUUGGCCAGAACUCAGUCUCGCAGUCCACCUGGAUGCAAGAAUGGUGGGCUAGCAGCGUGUCCAGGAAGAAGACAACGCGGAGACAGGUAUCCUUCUAGGAGGACGGAGAGGGAGCUUCAAGACACAGAGACACAGAGGAGAAGGCCAUAUGAAGAUGGAGGCAGAGACUGGAGGCGCCAUUGCCAAGCAACACUGCGGAUCACCUGCA